GUGGCGCACGGGUGCGUAACGCGUGGGAAUCUGCCCUUGGGUUCGGAAUAACAGUUAGAAAUGACUGCUAAUACCGGAUGAUGACGUAAGUCCAAAGAUUUAUCGCCCAAGGAUGAGCCCGCGUAGGAUUAGCUAGUUGGUGGGGUAAAGGCCCACCAAGGCGACGAUCCUUAGCUGGUCUGAGAGGAUGAUCAGCCACACUGGGACUGAGACACGGCCCAGACUCCUACGGGAGGCAGCAGUGGGGAAUAUUGGACAAUGGGCGAAAGCCUGAUCCAGCAAUGCCGCGUGAGUGAUGAAGGCCUUAGGGUUGUAAAGCUCUUUUACCCGGGAUGAUAAUGACAGUACCGGGAGAAUAAGCUCCGGCUAACUCCGUGCCAGCAGCCGCGGUAAUACGGAGGGAGCUAGCGUUGUUCGGAAUUACUGGGCGUAAAGCGCACGUAGGCGGCUUUGUAAGUUAGAGGUGAAAGCCUGGAGCUCAACUCCAGAAUUGCCUUUAAGACUGCAUCGCUCGAAUCCAGGAGAGGUGAGUGGAAUUCCGAGUGUAGAGGUGAAAUUCGUAGAUAUUCGGAAGAACACCAGUGGCGAAGGCGGCUCACUGGACUGGUAUUGACGCUGAGGUGCGAAAGCGUG
rnacentral:rRNA from 1 species